ensembl:processed_transcript
GAUGUAUGAGAUGGCGGAUGGAGAAGACAGUUAGACUUUAUAGUGCCACAGACAAUCAUGCGCCGCUGCGCUUUGUUCUCCCCGUGGAAGAGGAGUGUGUUUGGUGUGUUUGAUCACGAUGCGUCCCGGCGCAGGCUUGUGUGGGUGUGGGUUCGUGCUCUUCUUGUGGAGGAAGGGUGGAGGUUGCUGCACCCUUGCAGACGAAGGUGGAAAGUGGAGGACGUCUUAUCGCGUGUCAGAUCGGAAAGCGGAGGCUGCAAUGAAGUGCGGUCAUCUUUUUGAGGUGACCCUGUCAAAGCCACACGUCUGUCAGCCUCUGAUCCACAGACCAAAAAAACACCAGCCCUUGCCCCUCUGUCUGAAACACAGGGAACGGCAGAUCAGAAGAGGAAAGCAGCAUCUGUAGCAGAGCCAUAGUUUUUGCUGCCUCCGUGUAUGCCGGUUUUAGUGCUCAAAUUGCUCUGUGUUUUCUGCAUUUUCCUCUGGGAAAUAUCAGCGCACGAAGGCCGAGCGGACGCUGAUGGAUUGAGUCGUGAGAUGUGUGUCUUUGUCUCUUUCUGAAGGUAGAUGUGCCAUGUGUGAACCACUAACGUUUACCAAGCAAUAUGAGUUUCUGAAAGCCCAGGGGUGUUGUCAGGUUUUGAGAAAUGCUGUUAAGUCUCAAACGCACCCAAGAAACCAGUGGACUAUUCCACAUACUAACAUAUUAAAGGAUAGGAUUACUUGUUACUUAAACGGGACCUAUUAUGCCCCUUUUAUCAAGAUGUAAAAUAAGUAUCUGAUGCCUCUAGAGAGUGUGUAUGUGAAUUUUUAGCUCAAAAUGCCCCCAAAAUACUGUUUUAU